UACGUUAUCAUGAGACAUUGUUUAAACAUUAUUGCAAUUGUUGUUUAGGUUAUGUUGUUCAAUGCUAUCUAUGAAUGUUGAUUGUUGAAUACACCAGGACAUCUCCGCCCCGGAGUGUGAGAGUGAUGUAUGCACAGGGGAUUGUCGCUCUGUUUCCAUAUCUUGAAGACCCAUCUUCACAGAAUGGCUAUGAUCAUUACUACGAUCCUGAAAGGGGUUCAGGAUACCUUGCAUGGCGGUUGAAGACUAUUCAAAGAAAAGCUGCAGAGGAAAGAGGUCCAGCAGUUAGUAGAUCUCCUAAAGUUGGUGGUCCAGGCCAUGGGCGUACUAGACCCUUUACUGCCGACCAAGUCCUGACUGACGAGGAAGUGGAAUCCGCUAUCGCUGUGUUGAGACACACUGCUGAUGAGUACACCAUCCGUGAG